ACCCGGCUGGCUCAGUCAGUAGAGCAUGAGACUCUUAAUCUCAAGGUUGUGAAUUCGAGGCCCACAUGUGGUG
rnacentral:tRNA from 1 species